CCUACGGGUGGCAGCAGUGAGGAAUAUUGGUCAAUGGGCGGGAGCCUGAACCAGCCAAGUCGCGUGAGGGAAGACGGUCCUAUGGAUUGUAAACCUCGUUAGGCGGGGAGCAAGGCCGGGCACGUGUGCCCGGAGGGAGAGGACCCGCAGAAGAAGCAGCGGCCAACUCCGUGCCAGCAGCCGCGGUAAGACGGAGGAUGCGAGCGUUAUCCGGAUUGAUUGGGUUUAAAGGGUGCGUAGGCGGAUUUUUAAGUCAGCGGUAAACUGUCCGGGCUCAACCCGGGCCGGCCGUUGCAACUGGGGAUCUUGAUUGGGCGAGCAGUCUGCGGCAUGCGUGGUGUAGCGGUGCCCUGCCUAGCUAUCCCGC
rnacentral:rRNA from 1 species